rnacentral:rRNA from 1 species
CAGUCGCCGCGGUAACACGUAGGGUGCGAGCGUUAAUCGGAAUUACUGGGCGUAAAGCGUGCGCAGGCGGUUCGUUAAGACAGAUGUGAAAUCCCCGGGCUUAACCUGGGAACUGCAUUUGUGACUGGCGAGCUAGAGUAUGGCAGAGGGGGGUAGAAUUCCACGUGUAGCAGUGAAAUGCGUAGAGAUGUGGAGGAAUACCGAUGGCGAAGGCAACCUCCUGGGCCUGUUCUGAAGCUGAGGCACGAAAGCGUGGGUAGCAAACAGGAUUAGAUACCCCCGUAGUCCCUGUCUCUUAUAC